AAGAAAUUUGGGGCAGAGGGAAAAGAAAGAGAAAAUAAAGAGAGAUAAUGGAGUAUUUGAAAGGAAAAAAAAAUUAUAUAGCGUGGUUAAUCAUGAUCAUGAGAGCUAAAACAUAGAAUCAACAGUGAAACGAUAUCCGAUUGAGAUAAAAAUUAAGUAUGAUAUUUAUGGUUGGCAGAUCAGUAUAUCCAAUGGUCUCAAUUCUGAUUUGAGGUAAGUAUGGGGUAUACAAUAUGCUUUAUAAAUUUUGAAGUAUUUUCUUAAAAUAUUCGAUUUUGUAUUUUUC
rnacentral:lncRNA from 1 species